AUUGAACGCUGGCGGAAUGCUUUACACAUGCAAGUCGAACGGCAGCACGGACUUCGGUCUGGUGGCGAGUGGCGAACGGGUGAGUAGUGUAUCGGAACGUGCCCAGUCGUGGGGGAUAACGUAGUGAAAAUUACGCUAAUACCGCAUACGAUCUAUGGAUGAAAGCGGGGGAUCGCAAGACCUCGCGCGAUUGGAGCGGCCGAUAUCAGAUUGGGUAGUUGGUGGGGUAAAGGCCCACCAAGCCAACGAUCUGUAGCUGGUCUGAGAGGACGACCAGCCACACUGGAACUGGGACACGGUCCAGACUCCUACGGGAGGCAGCAGUGGGGAAUUUUGGACAAUGGGCGAAAGCCUGAUCCAGCCAUUCCGCGUGCAGGAUGAAGGCCCUCGGGUUGUAAACUGCUUUUGUACAGAACGAAAAGGUUUCUACUAAUACUAGGAGCUCAUGACGGUACUGUAAGAAUAAGCACCGGCUAACUACGUGCCAGCCGCCGCGGUAA
rnacentral:rRNA from 1 species